rnacentral:rRNA from 1 species
AUUGAACGCUGGCGGCAGGCCUAACACAUGCAAGUCGAGCGAGCGGCGGACGGGUGAGUAAUGUAUGGGGACUGCCCGAUAGAGGGGGAUAACUACUGGAAACGGUAGCUAAUACCGCAUACUAUCGGAUAACCCAUAUGGGAUUAGCUUGUAGGUGAGGUAAUGGCUCGCCUAGGCGACGAUCCCUAGCUGGUCGGCGAGGAUGAUAAGCCCCACUGGGACGGAGACACGGCCCAGACUCCUACGGAGGCAGCAGUGGGGAAUAUUACACAAGGGGCGCAGGCCUGAUGCAGCCAUGCCGCGUGUAUGAAAGAGGCCCGAGGGUUGUAAAGUACUUUCAGUCGGAAGGCGUUACCGACAGAAGAAGCACCGGCUAACUCCGUGCCAGCAGCCGCGGUAAUUC